GACGAACGCUGGCGGCGUGCUUAACACAUGCAAGUCGAACGCUGAAGCUCAGCUUUUGUUGGGUGGAUGAGUGGCGAACGGGUGAGUAACACGUGAGUAACCUGCCUCCUUCUUUGGGAUAACGCCCGGAAACGGGUGCUAAUACUGGAUAUUCACUGGUCUUCGCAUGGGGGUUGGUGGAAAGGGUUUUUCUGGUGGGGGAUGGGCUCGCGGCCUAUCAGCUUGUUGGUGGGGUGAUGGCCUACCAAGGCUUUGACGGGUAGCCGGCCUGAGAGGGUGACCGGUCACAUUGGGACUGAGAUACGGCCCAGACCACUACGGGAGGCAGCAGUGGGGAAUAUUGCACAAUGGGCGCAAGCCUGAUGCAGCGACGCCGCGUGAGGGAUGGAGGCCUUCGGGUUGUGAACCUCUUUCGCUCAUGGUCAAGCCGCAACAAUGGUUGUGGUGAGGGUAGUGGGUAAAGAAGCGCCGGCUAACUACGCG
rnacentral:rRNA from 1 species